rnacentral:rRNA from 1 species
UUUUUAUGGAGAGUUUGAUCCUGGCUCAGGACGAACGCUGGCGGCGUGCCUAAUACAUGCAAGUCGAGCGAACAGAGAAGGAGCUUGCUCCUUUGACGUUAGCGGCGGACGGGUGAGUAACACGUGGGCAACCUACCUUAUAGUUUGGGAUAACUCCGGGAAACCGGGGCUAAUACCGAAUAAUCUAUUUUACUUCAUGGUGAAAUACUGAAAGACGGUUUCGGCUGUCGCUAUAAGAUGGGCCCGCGGCGCAUUAGCUAGUUGGUGAGGUAACGGCUCACCAAGGC